AUGUUGGGGAAAAAAAAGAUACCAAGACCAAGCACUUUUUCUAGGUCACUAAUCAAUGGGUUACCAGGGAUUCAGAGAACUGUUACCCAUCCGACUGGUUGGACCACCCCAAAAGUUGACAGGGUGGAGCGUGCAAGCUGCCUUGUAAAUCUAAGCACCGAUGUGUCACUCAAGAUAAAGUGUCAGGAAAUUAGAUAGGAAAUUAAUCACAAUUCUGAUUGCGCCCAUAUCAGCGAGUUGUACUUCCAUCCAUCCCACCUUCCACCCUUCCCAUCUGCCUCUGGCCAGAACUGGUGAGCAGGGAUUGCCUUAACAGCUCAGUAAUUCUAUCAGAGAGCAAUCAUUCUGCUGAUGAAGACGGACAGCUCCUCGCACAGGAGAGCAGAAUGAGACUGCCAACGUCCAUUAAAGGGACGGAUAGUGGUGUGGAUUGAACCCGGGCUAUAAUUGGCACUCUGCUGGGAGACGCUAAUUGAUUGCUUUCAGGAAUUAAUGUGGCGGAUGAGCUGGUCACGUCUUACAGUAACAACCUGUCUUUAUGUUACAUGUGCGACCGGAGAGGAAAAACCCACCUGGAGCAUCACCGUCUUCAUCGUCAACUGGAUAAAUGGGAAUUUGAAGAUGGAAUAGAAAAAAAAGAUAAAGACAGAAAAUUACAUUAAAAAUAUAACAGUUAUAAAAUGUUUACCAAACAAAAGUUACUAUCUAGAUGUCAUGAAAACAUGUCCAAGUAAAAAGUAAAAUAAAAUUAUCUUUUUUUUUUUUUUUUUUAUAUAAUGAUUUAUUUAUUUACAUAAAUUUCAAGGCAAACACAACAAAUGCUGUCAUGAUAUGUAGUUUUAAUUUAAACAAUAUAUUUAUAUAAUAUACAAAUAUUUUCAUAUAUUUUUGAGCAGUGUUGGAUGUAAUGCAUUAUUAAGUUUUGUAUAAUAUACAAAUAUUUUCAUAUAUUUUGAGAAGUAUUGGGUGUUAUGCGUAACUAAGUAAUCAAUUAUUGUAAUGUAAUUACUUCUCCCUUGAAAAAGUAAAGUAGGUGAUUCCUCUUAAUUUUUCCAGUAAUUUAAUUACAGUUAUAUCUGAUGUAAUUGCAAUAAAUACUUUAUAGACUAUAGAACAAUAGCAUAUUUAACAUCAAAAUGUAAUGUUUUUAAUGUAGCCGUCUCCCUUUAAAUAUUUUGGUUAGUUCAAGAAUAAUUUAUGUAAUUUUAUAUCAUUUAUUUGAAAGAACUGAAUGAGGAGUUUCAUGUCUAUCCUUGUAUUGUUCAGUUGGGCGAGGUUGAUAUGGGAUUUA
rnacentral:lncRNA from 12 species